rnacentral:rRNA from 1 species
UACAGAGGGUGCAAGCGUUAAUCGGAAUUACUGGGCGUAAAGCGCGCGUAGGCGGUCAAGCAAGUCAGAUGUGAAAUCCCCGGACUUAAUCUGGGAACUGCACCUGAUACUACUUGACUGGAGUAUGAUAGAGGAAAGUGGAAUUUCCAGUGUAGCGGUGAAAUGCGUAGAUAUUGGAAGGAACACCAGUGGCGAAGGCGACUUUCUGGAUCAAUACUGACGCUGAGGAGCGAAAGCCAGGGGAGCAAACGGG